GACGAACGCUGGCGGCGUGCUUAACACAUGCAAGUCGAACGGAAAGGCCCUGCUUUUGUGGGGUGCUCGAGUGGCGAACGGGUGAGUAACACGUGAGUAACCUGCCCUUGACUUUGGGAUAACUUCAGGAAACUGGGGCUAAUACCGGAUAGGAGCUCCUGCUGCAUGGUGGGGGUUGGAAAGUUUCGGCGGUUGGGGAUGGACUCGCGGCUUAUCAGCUUGUUGGUGGGGUAGUGGCUUACCAAGGCUUUGACGGGUAGCCGGCCUGAGAGGGUGACCGGCCAAAUUGGGAAUGGGAAAAGGGCAAAACUCCUACGGGGGGAAGGAGGGGGGAAUAUUGCACAAUGGGCGGAAGCCUGAUGCAGCAACGCCGCGUGCGGGAUGACGGCCUUCGGGUUGUAAACCGCUUUCGCCUGUGACGAAGCGUGAGUGACGGUAAUGGGUAAAGAAGCACCGGCUAACUACGUG
rnacentral:rRNA from 1 species